GCCCCUGUGGCGGAAUUGGUAGACGCGCUCGACUCAAAAUCGAGUGCCGCAAGGCGUGCUGGUUCGACUCCGGCCAGGGGCACCA
rnacentral:tRNA from 1 species